rnacentral:tRNA from 1 species
GCAUCAGUGGUUCAGUGGUAGCAUGAUCGCCUUCCACGCAAGCGGCCCGGGAUCGAUUCUCGACCGAUGCG